rnacentral:rRNA from 1 species
UACGUAGGGUGCAAGCGUUAAUCGGAAUUACUGGGCGUAAAGCGUGCGCAGGCGGCUUUGCAAGACAGAUGUGAAAUCCCCGGGCUUAACCUGGGAACUGCAUUUGUGACUGCAUGGCUGGAGUGUGGCAGAGGGGGAUGGAAUUCCGCGUGUAGCAGUGAAAUGCGUAGAUAUGCGGAGGAACACCGAUGGCGAAGGCAAUCCCCUCGGGCCUGCACUGACGCUCAGUGCACGAAAGCGUGGGGAGCGAA